GGAUGUGAGGGCGAUCUGGUUGUGACAUCUGUCACCCCAUUGAUCACCAGGGUUGAUUCGGCUGAUCUGGCUGGCCAGGCGGGUGUCCCCUUCCUCCCUCACCGCUCCAUGUGCAUCCCCCCCCCCUUCCCCAAUAGAGACCAACGGGUCUUUGGUCGUAAGAGUAGCUGCACUCCCCUGCUAGAUCCUCCAAACAAGCUCUCAAGGUCCAACCGGUUCUUGGUUUUGUUAAAAUGUUGUUGUUAUUAUUAUUAUUAUUAUUAUUAUUAUUACCUCCAGGGUUAUCACUGGAGCUUGGU
rnacentral:snRNA from 1 species